rnacentral:rRNA from 1 species
AACGAACGCUGGCGGCGUGCUUAAGACAUGCAAGUCGAGCGAGAAAGCCAACCUUCGGGUGGUGAGUAAAGCGGCGCACGGGUGAGUAACGCGUGGAUAAUCUACCUGUAGGUCUGGGAUAACUCCGGGAAACUGGAGCUAAUACCGGAUAAGACCACGGGGUCUUUGGAUCUUGCGGGAAAAGGUGGCCUCUUCUUGAAAGCUACCGCCUAUCGAUGAGUCCGCGUCCCAUUAGCUUGUUGGUGAGGUAAAGGCUCACCAAGGCUUCGAUGGGUAGCUGGUCUGAGAGGAUGAUCAGCCACACUGGAACUGAGACACGGUCCAGACUCCUGCGGGAGGCAGCAGUCGGGAAUUUUGGGCAAUGGGGGAAACCCUGACCCAGCAACGCCGCGUGAGGGAUGAAGGCCCUCGGGUCGUAAACCUCUGUCGGAAGGGAAGAAAGGUCUCCGUUCGAAUAGAGCGGGGGCUUGACGGUACCUUCAAAGGAAGCACCGGCUAACUCCGUG